GAUGAACGCUGGCGGCGUGCCUAAUACAUGCAAGUCGAGCGAACAGACGAGGAGCUUGCUCCUCUGACGUUAGCGGCGGACGGGUGAGUAACACGUGGAUAACCUACCUAUAAGACUGGGAUAACUUCGGGAAACCGGAGCUAAUACCGGAUAAUAUAUUGAACCGCAUGGUUCAAUAGUGAAAGACGGUUUUGCUGUCACUUAUAGAUGGAUCCGCGCCGCAUUAGCUAGUUGGUAAGGUAACGGCUUACCAAGGCAACGAUGCGUAGCCGACCUGAGAGGGUGAUCGGCCACACUGGAACUGAGACACGGUCCAGACUCCUACGGGAGGCAGCAGUAGGGAAUCUUCCGCAAUGGGCGAAAGCCUGACGGAGCAACACCGCGUGAAUGAUGAAGGUCUUCGGAUCGUAAAACUCUGUUAUUAGGGAAGAACAAAUGUGUAAGUAACUAUGCACGUCUUGACGGUACCUAAUCAGAAAGCCACGGCUAACUACGUG
rnacentral:rRNA from 1 species